UGAAAUCUGGCGUCUUCGACGUCCGAGUUGUAAUUUGUAGAGGAUGCUUCUGAGUAACCACCGACCUAAGUUCCUUGGAACAGGACGUCAUAGAGGGUGAGAAUCCCGUAUGCGGUCGGAAAGGUGCUCUAUACGUAGCUCCUUCGACGAGUCGAGUUGUUUGGGAAUGCAGCUCUAAAUGGGAGGUAAAUUUCUUCUAAAGCUAAAUAUUGGCCAGAGACCGAUAGCGCACAAGUAGAGUGAUCGAAAGAUGAAAAGCACUUUGGAAAGAGAGUUAAAAAGCACGUGAAAUUGUUAAAAGGGAAGGGAUUGCAACCAGACUUGCUCGCGGUGUUCCGCCGGUCUUCUGACCGGUCUACUCGCCGCGUUGCAGGCCAGCAUCGUCUGGUGCCGCUGGAUAAGACUUGAGGAAUGUAGCUCCCUCGGGAGUGUUAUAGCCUCUUGUGAUGCAGCGAGCGCCGGGCGAGGUCCGCGCUUCGGCU
rnacentral:rRNA from 1 species